GAAAGCCUGACGGAGCUAGACCGCGUGAGGGAAGAAGGCCCUUGGGUUGUAAACCUCUUUUCUCAGGAAAGAAGAACUGACGGUACCUGAGGAAUAAGCCUCGGCUAACUCCGUGCCAGCAGCCGCGGUAAUACGGAGGAGGCAAGCGUUAUCCGGAAUUAUUGGGCGUAAAGCGUCCGCAGGUGGCUUGACAAGUCUGCUGUUAAAGACUGGGGCUUAACCCCAGGCGAGCAGUGGAAACUGUCAGACUAGAGUGCGGUAGGGGUAGGGGGAAUUCCCAGUGUAGCGGUGAAAUGCGUAGAUAUUGGGAAGAACACCGGUGGCGAAAGCGCCCUACUAGACCGCAACUGACACUCAGGGACGAAAGCCAGGGUAGCG
rnacentral:rRNA from 1 species